rnacentral:rRNA from 1 species
CCCUACGGGGGGCAGCAGUGGGGAAUAUUGCACAAUGGGCGAAAGCCUGAUGCAGCAACGCCGCGUGAGCGAUGAAGGCCUUCGGGUCGUAAAGCUCUGUCCUCAAGGAAGAUAAUGACGGUACUUGAGGAGGAAGCCCCGGCUAACUACGUGCCAGCAGCCGCGGUAAUACGUAGGGGGCUAGCGUUAUCCGGAAUUACUGGGCGUAAAGGGUGCGUAGGCGGACUGUUAAGUCAGCGGUAAAAUCCCGGGGCUCAACCCCGGCGAGCCGUUGA